AUUUCUUAAACCAGGUGCUCCGCAGGGUGCAGCUUUAUACGACCGCAGAGGUCGAUCCCUGAACAGUUGGGGCAGGUAUGGACAAAACAUUUAAGCGUGAUACAGCUCUGAAUUUGGAUUGUGAUCAAAUUUUUGACAUUAUAUGGGUUUUUUACACAAAACAAAUGUCAAGAUUUUACAAAUCAAUUAAAGAUUUCUUCUUCAAACUUAUUUAAAUCUAAAAUUAAAUAGUUGACACAGCAUAGGUUUCUGAUACAGAAUGAAUGUGGUCUAAUGAACUUAAAAAUUUUUUUGCCUUUGAGCAAUUCACUAUGCUGUUGAAUAUUAAUCCUGUCAAAAAAAUGUUUGAAGAAAUUUUCUUUUUAUUUAUGAAAUCUGAAAUGAGAACAAGUAUGGACACAACUUUUAAGCUAAAAAUAUUUUA
rnacentral:lncRNA from 1 species